rnacentral:tRNA from 1 species
UGCGGGAUCAUCUAAUGGUAGGAUACACGGCUCUGAACCGUGGCAUCUUGGUUCGAAUCCAAGUCCCGCAG